AAGCUUCGAAGGCCAGAGGCCGUCGCCGGUUAUCCGGCGUCAAGAAACCAAAGUGGUUUCCAAGCAUUGUUGAAAGGUAUCUUAUCCUGAAUUUCAAUAGGGAUAAGAAGCGAACGCAGGGAACUGAAACAUCUAAGUACCUGCAGGAAAGGACAUCAACCGAGACUCCGCAAGUAGUGGCGAGCGAACGCGGACCACGCCACUGGCAAUGAGGAAUAAAGUGGAACGACUUGGAAAGGUCGGCCGUAGGCGGGUGAUAACCCCCCACACAAAAAAAACUCUUUGUCCUUCAAUAAGGGGGGACACAAAAAAUCCUGUCUGAGGGGGUGAACCCCCCACU
rnacentral:rRNA from 1 species